UACAGAGGUCUCAAGCGUUGUUCGGAUUCAUUGGGCGUAAAGGGUGCGUAGGCGGCGCGGUAAGUCGGGUGUGAAAUCUCGGAGCUUAACUCCGAAACUGCAUUCGAUACUGCCGUGCUUGAGGACUGGAGAGGAGACUGGAAUUUACGGUGUAGCGGUGAAAUGCGUAGAUAUCGUAAGGAAGACCAGUGGCGAAGGCGGGUCUCUGGGCCAAUACUGACGCUGAGGAGCGAAAGCGUGGGGAGCGAACAGG
rnacentral:rRNA from 1 species